AGGGAAUCUUCGGCAAUGGACGGAAGUCUGACCGAGCAACGCCGCGUGAGUGAAGAAGGUUUUCGGAUCGUAAAGCUCUGUUGUAAGAGAAGAACGAGUGUGAGAGUGGAAAGUUCACACUGUGACGGUAUCUUACCAGAAAGGGACGGCUAACUACGUGCCAGCAGCCGCGGUAAUACGUAGGUCCCGAGCGUUGUCCGGAUUUAUUGGGCGUAAAGCGAGCGCAGGCGGUUAGAUAAGUCUGAAGUUAAAGGCUGUGGCUUAACCAUAGUACGCUUUGGAAACUGUUUAACUUGAGUGCAAGAGGGGGGAGUGGAAUUCCAUGUGUAGCGGUGAAAUGCGUAGAUAUAUGGAGGAACACCGGUGGCGAAAGCGGCUCUCUGGCUUGUAACUGACGCUGAGGCUCGAAAGCGUGGGGAGCAAACAGGAUUAGAUACCCUGGUAGUCCACGCCGUAAACGAUGAGUGCUAGGUGUUAGACCCUUUCCGGGGUUUAGUGCCGUAGCUAACGCAUUAAGCACUCCGCCUGGGGAGUACGACCGCAAGGUUG
rnacentral:rRNA from 1 species